UGACAGUUGUAAAACAAUAAGUGAGUGGUGAUAGCCCUGUGAAAGCUUGCAAUGCUUGACUGCUACCUGUCAGUCAGGAAUCAGUUUGGAGUGGGCAAAUCUACUGUGGGAGCUGCUGUGAUCCAAGUAGCCAA